GAUGAAGAACGUAGCGAAAUGCGAUAACUAGUGUGAAUUGCAGAUUUCAGUGAAUCAUCGAGUCUUUGAACGCACAUUGCGCCCCUUGGUAUUCCAUGGGGCAUGCCUGUUCGAGCGUCAUUUGUACCUUCAAGCUCUGCUUGGUGUUGGGUGUUUGUCUCGCCUCUGCGUGUAGACUCGCCUCAAAACAAUUGGCAGCCGGCGUAUUGAUUUCGGAGCGCAGUACAUCUCGCGCUUUGCACUCAUAACGACGACGUCCAAAAGUACAUUUUUACACUCUUGACCUCGGAUCAGGUAGGGAUACCCGCUGAACUUAAGCAUAUCAAUAAGCGGAGGA
rnacentral:misc_RNA from 1 species